GGCUGAAGGGCCAGAGUGGGCGCCAAGGGCGAGGAGGCGCCGAGAGCGAGUGGGGGCUGCCAGCACGGUGUCACCUCUCACCAGUAGUUGUGAUUUUUGCUGUCACCCCCAUGGAUUAUGAAUUCACUUUGUCUGGGUAACAGUGGAAACCCUCGGAAGUUGUUUCCACUGUUUCAUCUAAAAGAAGUCGCCAAAACGAAGUUUUCUCAGUGCCAAAGCAUGGACUCAGCGCAUCAAUUGCCUUCUUGCCCCCAUGGUUUCUUCUGGGAAAACCCACCGUUAAUCUUAUUG
rnacentral:lncRNA from 10 species